UACGAAGGGUGCAAGCGUUAAUCGGAAUUACUGGGCGUAAAGGGUGCGUAGGCGGUUCGUUAAGUCUGUGGUGAAAUCCCCGGGCUCAACCUGGGAAUGGCGAUGGAUACUGGCGAGCUAGAGUGUGUCAGAGGAUGGUGGAAUUCCCGGUGUAGCGGUGAAAUGCGUAGAGAUCGGGAGGAACAUCAGUGGCGAAGGCGGCCAUCUGGGACAACACUGACGCUGAAGCACGAAAGCGUGGGGAGCAAACAGG
rnacentral:rRNA from 1 species